CUGCGCGCGCUCGGGCCGGCAGGGGCCCGCGCCCCCGGCGCCCACAGGUGCUGCGUCCUCGCCUUCUCCGCGCCCCACGCGCCGCCCCGGCCGCCGGCCCCCCGGGCUCCGCAAGCGAGAGGGAGAGUCUGGAGCCGGGAGCGGGACGGUGCAGGAUCAGGGAAAGAUAUCCAUCUUGGUGCAUUCCACUUUCUGGCUCCAGAAUGGACUGGUGAUUUUCCGGACUUGCACAACUCCUAUCCUGGGGUUUCUCUUCAUCAUCAUCCUUGGAAUUCUCUCUUCCCUCUGCUGGAUUGGAUCCAAGGCCGGUUUCCUAAGGAAACCUUUGCUAUGAUCAAGGGCUGCAGAUGAGAAAGAACACCAAGAACUCCAGAAAGACGUUCACCUUGAGGAGAGAGUAGACUGUACCAGUGACCCAGCGAUGUAUCUGUGCUGCUGGAAUCAGGGUUGGCUGCAUGAAGCUGAACAAAAGAACUGUCCCCUUGGUGCCCAAGGAGAUGUACUGAACCAGUUCUCUGUUGUUGUAUUGUUGAAUAUCACUGCAUGUGGUUUUUAGCCAUUAUGAGUAAAGUCAUCAAUAUUCUUGUACAUACACUGUUGCCCGCAUUACUCAUUUUUUUUCCAUGCCCAUUUCCCAUGUCUCAUUGUGUCAGAGUAACUUCAGAAAAAUUACUGCCUCCUUGGAGUUAGUGUGAUUUUAUUUGAAGAAAAGGAUUUGCUGAUAAAGACCUAAUACAUUUUUCUGAUCCCAUAAAUGGAAGUAUUAAGGUCAUUAUAAGAGCCUCUCUUUUUACUGGGGUAUGAAUGUUUGUUAAGGUUUAGUUUCUAUCUUUGAGAGAAUUAGAAUGCAUUUACAGUAUGGUUAUAGUAUCUGAUUAUUAAUAUUGAAGAAAGCAUAAUGUAUUUUUUAUGACCUCUGGGAUUUCACCUUUGCCCGGGUCUAUACUCAUUUAUAGGUAUAUGUUUUACAGACAUUUUCCUAGGAAAUUCGACCAUGUGGAAGUAAUCUGAUGAUAAAAUUAAAGAAGCCUUUGUUUUCA